AAGUGAAGGUUAUAAUAUGCUAUCAUCUACCUGUAUAUCAAUGCAUGCACAUCUGAUUAUAUCACACCCGCAUUUUCUGUUGCAUGUAAGAAACAUGGGUUUGAAGUGCAAUCGUUUAGGCCUCAUUCUGGGAAUUUUAUUUGCCGUCUGUUUGAACUCUACUCAAUCGUCCUAUUGCUACUACUAGUAUGAUUACAGCGGUUACUGGAAAGCGUGCUAUUAUACUUACUAUUACUAUUCCUAUUCAUCUUCUGGUAGUGGUACCUCUGCUGGAAAAAUCGUAGGCUACGUGUUUGCCGGAUUGACUGGUCUGGCCCUCCUCCUGUCGUGUACAAGUUAUCUGUGUAUGAAAAUAUGCGCGUCGGGGAACCACGAUCGUGUGGUUGUCAGGCCAGCAAUAUCACACAUAGACACAGCUGAAAACGUUCCCGGGGGACAACAACCAAUGGCUAUUCUCGACCCUCCACCAGAGUAUGAGGCGAUCGGACAUUCGAAUCCUAGAUAACCGAAAAUUUCGUGUAAUUCAUACGAUGUAAUAACUUGCUCGGUGUUAUGUAUAUUUUAUUACAAAUUCUUGACAAGGAAGUUUCUCAUAACUUUCUCACUUUAAUCAAAGGAAACUUCGCAGUCGAUAUCUUGAUCGAUAUAAAAUUUCAGUGGUUAUGAUAACGGACUACAUGCAUAUACCUACAGCGUAUCAGCGUUGUCGAGAACCUUUCAUGUACAAGUAAGAUAUCACGAAUUCUGUUGUUAAAAUUUUUGAACACUAAGUAAAUUAAAUGUUAGAUUGGUGUUUUGAAUAAAGUGAACAUUGCAAAGAA